rnacentral:rRNA from 1 species
CGGCAACAGCUCAAAUUUGAAAUCUGGCUCUCAGUCGGGGGUCCGAGUUGUAAUUUGUAGAGGAAUUUUCGGACGCGGUACCGGCCUAAGUUCCUUGGAACAGGGCGUCAUAGAGGGUGAGAAUCCCGUAUGUGGCCGGCCUCCAAGUUUAUAGGAAAAUCCUUCGAC